CCUGGGCCCUCUCAGGCCUGACCACAGGGCAGGGAGGGCCAGGAAGGGAGAGACACUGAGGGGCAGAGACAAGGACUUCCCCGUCUUUAUCUUUGCACCGGUGGGGUGGCCACCAACGACUCGCAAACGAUUGUUACCUCACAUUCCACCUGGAUUGUGUCCGGCAGCCGCCUUCUGGAAGUCCAGUCACAGUUGGGGAUAUUUGGCGUUGAGUUUCCUUGCCACCAAAGACGGAAGGGAAAUAUGAUAAUCAGCAAUGAGCUGCACAUUUUCCUUGGAGGGAAAAAAAAUAUGUCCCCUGCGGAGAAACUCGGGGCAGGGCGCAGGUGUCUCCCACGGGCCCGUGACACCGGGAUGGGGACGGAGCCGUGUCCUCACAGGCAGGUGCAGAAGCAGCGCAUGGCGUGUUCACCAUGGAAGCUCGUCGAACCCCGAGAGAACCUUCUGACAAGCUUCCACACGGGGAGGCUGAGGACAUCGCGCCAAGGGCGCCCACCCGCUGUGAGCGGUCCGGUGACCCCGCUACAGUGAGGCACCUUGGCCGGGCCAGGUCAUAGGAAUCGGAGAGUGCGGUGGCGGGGAUGUGGCCUGCGGGGGACAGGGUGGCCGGGCGUGAACUCUGCACUUAAAAGUGAUGAAUGUGGUGAAUUUUUUGUCAUGUACACUCUGCCACAAUAAGAAAUAAAAAAUAAA